rnacentral:rRNA from 1 species
CAAUGGGGGAAACCCUGAUCCAGCGACGCCGCGUGUGUGAAGAAGGCCUGCGGGUUGUAAAGCACUUUUAGUGGGGAUGAAAAGCUCAGGGCUAAUACCUCUGGGUCUUGACCUAACCCAAAGAAAAAGCACCGGCUAACUCUGUGCCAGCAGCCGCGGUAAUACAGAGGGUGCGAGCGUUAAUCGGAAUUACUGGGCGUAAAGCGUGCGUAGACGGUUAUGUAAGUCGGGUGUGAAAGCCCCGGGCUCAACCUGGGAAUUGCAUUCGAGACUGGAUAGCUAGGGUGCGGAAGAGGGAAGCGGAAUUUCAGGUGUAGCGGUGAAAUGCGUAGAUAUCUGAAGGAACACCAGUGGCGAAAGCGGCUUCCUGGUCCAGCACCGACGUUCAGGCACGAAAGCGUGGGGAGCAAACAGGAUUAGAUACCCUGGUAGUCCACGCCAUAAACGAUGAGAACUAGACGUUGAGAGGGUAAGCCUCCCAGUGUCGUAGCUAACGCGCUAAGUUCUCCGCCUGGGAGUACGGC